GGAAGGGUGGCUGAGUCCGGUUUAAGGCACUCGACUCGAAAUCGAACGUGGGGUUAUUCCCACCGAGGGUUCGAAUCCCUCCCCUUCCGCCA
rnacentral:tRNA from 2 species